rnacentral:lncRNA from 1 species
CUCUUGUAUAAAACUGGAACAGAUUAUCAGAAACUGUCUACAAGUAAAAUUAAGCAUUGUGUUAGCAACGGGUUGGUUGAUUGUAAGUGUUCGGUGCAGAGACUGAAAUAUUUGUGUUUGAAUAAUCAGUCUUGAGACCAUAACAUGGAGGUAAGUAUGUGUGAGGACAACGUUUGCAAGAUUGGUUUGAACAGUGCGAAAAUCGUCUUCGAAUGUAGAAAAAAAAUUAUGAAAGUCUUUGUGGUGGUUAUUUGGGAACGAACAUUUAACUUCAAAAUAUGAAAAAGGGAUAGGGGUAAGAUUCAUUCAAAAAAAAUAUCGUCUGAUCCCAAAUUCGUUUAAACAAAAUAUUGUUGUCGGGCAAAAUUUAUGACCAAUAACAAUAUUAUGAAUUCUGAUUUCUUAUACCUUAUAAUGUUAAAUUUUGAAAGAAAAAUAUUUGAUUGAUGAAGGCGGAA